UGGGGAAUUUUGGACAAUGGGCGAAAGCCUGAUCCAGCAAUGCCGCGUGUGUGAAGAAGGCCUUCGGGUUGUAAAGCACUUUUGUCCGGAAAGAAAUCCUUGGCUCUAAUACAGUCGGGGGAUGACGGUACCGGAAGAAUAAGCACCGGCUAACUACGUGCCAGCAGCCGCGGUAAUACGUAGGGUGCAAGCGUUAAUCGGAAUUACUGGGCGUAAAGCGUGCGCAGGCGGUUUGCUAAGACCGAUGUGAAAUCCCCGGGCUCAACCUGGGAACUGCAUUGGUGACUGGCAGGCUAGAGUAUGGCAGAGGGGGGUAGAAUUCCACGUGUAGCAGUGAAAUGCGUAGAGAUGUGAGAAUACCGAUGGCGAAGGCAGCCCCCUGGGCCAAUACUGACGCUCAUGCACGAAAAGCGUGGGGAGCAAACAGGAUUAGAUACCCUGGUAGUCCACGCCCUAAACGAUGUCAACUAGUUGUUGGGGGAUUUCAUUUCCUUAGUAACGUAGCUAACGCGUGAAGUUGACCGCCUGGGGAGUACGGUCGCAAGAUUAAAACUUAAAGGAAUUGACGGGGUCAUAGCUGUUUCCU
rnacentral:rRNA from 1 species